AGGGAUGUGACUCAGAGGUAGAGUUCUUGCCUCAUGUGCAUGAAACCCUGGGUUCUAUCCCUAGCACUACAA
rnacentral:tRNA from 1 species